GCGCCAAGCCAGCUGAGUGGGUCUUUUUAUUUUUUUCGCGCGAAAGUUUAUGUGGUGAACUGUGUUGGUAAAGAUGAAGAUGUCAGUCAAUGAAAUUUGCUAUAUUUCUUGUGUCUAACCAACCCUGUACGGAUCGAACUGACGAUUCCCGAGUGCGACAAAUGUCCUGAAGUCUGCUCCUAUUAGCUAGGUAUCUAGAAAUUUCAACUUGAGUGUCAAGUGAAGACUUUGCCAGUUGCAGACGAGGGAAUUCUCGCUUCACGAUUUUCCUGGUGUGUGGAGAUACGUCGGAAUGCCGACCCACCACACCCGACAUGAUGCUUCGGCCGGAAUGCAGAAAGGAUCAUAUGUAGUGCCUUCUCAGCAUUACAUUACAUCCAUUGCGUAGCAGCAAUGUGCCAUCCUUCCGCGACUUAGGUGGAAUGACGUGCAAGUGGUGCUCCAGGGUCAACUUCAAUUUGCUGAGCACGUAUACCGCUGGCUUGGGGUCAGCAGCUGGGUGCAAAGUCUCUGUAUACAAAUCGUGCCCUGUCGUCAACAAUAUGGCAUCCUUGCCCAGCAAUUCCCGUCCUGUAGCGGCAAUGACUAUAAUAUUGGGGAAAUCACUCUCGGCACCUUCCGUGCUGUACUGAGAGAUGAUGCUUCGCAAUUGGUGGUCUGUGCUUGGUGCAUUGUCGGCAGGGAGCAUGUCAAUUUGCUUUUGGUAGCAGCGUCUACAAAAUCGA